rnacentral:rRNA from 1 species
GACGGAAGGUGCAAGCGUUGCUCGGAAUCACUGGGCGUAAAGGGUGCGUAGGCGGCCGUGCAAGUCUGGCGUGAAAGCCCCGGGCUCAGCCCGGGAAGUGCGCUCGAAACUGCGCGGCUCGAGUGCCGGAGGGGAGAGUGGAAUUCCUGGUGUAGCGGUGAAAUGCGUAGAUAUCAGGAGGAACACCGGUGGCGAAGGCGGAUCUCUGGGCCAUUACUGACGCUGAGGAGCGAAAGCGUGGGGAGCGAACAGG